rnacentral:ncRNA from 1 species
UAUUGUUGAGGUCGGAAAUGGUUCCCGACGCACCUUGAAAGAGGUACCUGAGAUGCAGGAUACACCGCCCUGCCAGCAACC